CACCCUAUAUCUUUUAAUUGGAGCAUUUAGUCCAUUUACAUUUAAAAUAGAUGCAGAGGAAUAUUUUAUACAGAAGAGAAGACACCCAGAAGAGGAGAAGGCAGUGUGACUACAGAGGCAGAGAUUGGCAUAAUACAGCCACAAGCCAAGUAAUGCUAGCUGCCAACAGAUGCUGGAAGAGGCAAGAAAAGGAUUGUUCCUGAGAGCCUCUGGAGGGAGCACAGCCCUACCAAUACUUUCAUUUUGGUCUAGUGAUAUGGAUUUUGGAUUUCCGCCAUCCAGAAUUGUGAGAAAAUAAAUUUCUAUUGUUAUCAGA